AGAAGACGAUAUCUCUGUCUCACUCGCACCUAGACCAUAUUACAUUGCACAUUAUUAACUUUUCAUAACACCCCCUCUCAAUGUAAUAAUCUGGAUACUUAAUUACUAUUAACUUAAACUAAAUUAUCUACUGAGAAAUAAACUUUGCAAUGCAACUACUAAAACAAUAGGUACUCUUAUAACAUUAUAUGCAGUUGAGUUACUUUAAACCACACAUAUUUACAAAUUUUAACAAUGUAUUAUUUUUCAAAGGUUUGGUCAACAUAUCAGCAAUUUGCUCCUCAGUUUUCACAUAUUUAAGACAUACUUUUUGUUUCUCAAUAAGUUCCCUAAUAAAGUGAUACUUAAUAUCUAUGUGUUUUAAUCUCUUAACAGUGUUGGUAUUAGCAAUAACCAUGGCAGACUGAUUGU